rnacentral:rRNA from 1 species
AUUGAACGCUGUCGGCAGGCCUCACACAUGCAAGUCGCACGAGUGGCGGACGGGUGAGUAAUGUCUGGGAAACUGCCUGAUGGAGGGGGAUAACUACUGGAAACGGUAGCUAAUACCGCAUACCAUCAGAUGUGCCCAGAGGGGAUUAGCUUGUUGGUUGGGUAACGGCUCACCAAGGCGACGAUCCCUAGCUGGUCUGAGAGGAUAACCAGCCACACUUGAACUGAGACACGGUCCAGACUCGGACGGGUGGCAGCUGUGGGGAAUAGUGCACAAUGGGCGCAAGCCUGAUGCAGCCAUGCCGCGUGUAUGAAGAAGGCCUUCGGGGUGUAGAGUACUUACAGCGGGGAGGCGUUACCCGCAGAAGAGGCACCGGCGAACUCCGGGCCAGCAGCCGCGGGAAUAC